AAUAGAUACCCGGGUAGUCCACGCCGUAAGCGAUGAGUGCUAAGUGUUAGGGGGUUUCCGCCCCUUAGUGCUGCAGCUAACGCAUUAAGCACUCCGCCUGGGGAGUACGGUCGCAAGACUGAAACUCAAAGGAAUUGACGGGGGCCCGCACAAGCGGUGGAGCAUGUGGUUUAAUUCGAAGCAACGCGAAGAACCUUACCAGGUCUUGACAUCCCAUUGACCACUAUGGAGACAUAGUUUUCCCUUCGGGGACAACGGUGACAGGUGGUGCAUGGUUGUCGUCAGCUCGUGUCGUGAGAUGUUGGGUUAAGUCCCGCAACGAGCGCAACCCUUGUUCUUAGUUGCCAUCAUUUAGUUGGGCACUCUAAGGAGACUGCCGGUGACAAACCGGAGGAAGGUGGGGAUGACGUCAAAUCAUCAUGCCCCUUAUGACCUGGGCUACACACGUGCUACAAUGGACGGUACAAACGGUUGCCAACCCGCGAGGGGGAGCUAAUCCGAUAAAACCGUUCUCAGUUCGGAUUGUAGGCUGCAACUCACCUACA
rnacentral:rRNA from 1 species